rnacentral:rRNA from 1 species
CAGCAGCCACGGGAAUACGGAGGGUGCAAGCGUUAAUCGGAAUUACUGGGCGUAAAGCGCACGCAGGCGGUUUGUUAAGUCAGAUGUGAAAUCCCCGAGCUUAACUUGGGAACUGCAUUUGGAACUGGCAAGCUAGAGUCUUGUAGAGGGGGGUAGAAUUCCAGGUGUAGCGGUGAAAUGCGUAGAGAUCUGGAGGAAUACCGGUGGCGAAGGCGGCCCCCUGGACAAAGACUGACGCUCAGGUGCGAAAGCGUGGGGAGCAAACAGGAUUAGAUACCCGUGUAGUCCCUGUCUCUUAUAA